rnacentral:lncRNA from 1 species
CGCCCCUCUUGAAAGGAUAGGAUUCCGGUGUUAGGUCCAUAAUUUCUUCCACGCAUUAUGAUACGGCCUCUGCUCUACAGGACUUCAGAGAUUUGUGGGAGAAUCAGACAGGAGAGCAGAUAAGUUAUGAUUUGGCACAGUGAACUCCGUGACAAUGACAGUCCCGGCAUGCUCUCAAGGCACAGUGGUGGAAGAAUGUGGUUUCUGUGAAGAUUAGCUUUUGUCCAGUCUUGCUGCCAGAGAACUCUCAAUAGAUGCUCAAGGGACCAAAUGUCUCACCAUUUGAAAAAGAAAAUUAACAAGGGAAAAAAGUAUUGUCUCCCCGCCCUCCAAAAAAGAGCCAUCUAUCCAAACAAAAACCCCAAACACCCAAAAGAUUGAAAUUGCUUAUUAUCUUGGGUGUUUUCAUCAAGUCUUAUUUUGUUGAAGACUUUAAAUAAAAGGCUUUGGGACACGUAGGCAGAGAAAGUACAGAUAAAAGACUAUGGUGGGACCUAUGGACAGUGAUCGAAUGUGUUACUUUCUCAUAAGGCAAGUUUUUACAACAAUCUAAAAUCAUGAGUGGGCACGUGUGUAUACACUCACCC